AGAAACAGCCGUAGAAAUAAAGUAAGCAACAGAUAGAUCACCUCUUCACAGUAAAAACUGUUUUCUUACACUUAAGGCAUUGCUUUUUUGUGUCCAUUGCCUAUCAUUCUACCACUGGACACCACUGGAGAUCUAUCACUGUCUUCUUCAGCUCUCCAUCAAGAAUUUAUACAUUUUGGUAAGAUCUUCUCUGACCAUUAUCUUUUUGAGGCUGAACAGUUCCAGCUCUCUCAGCCUCCCUUUGUAUGCCUCUCUUGUAAUUAUGGUCGUAUCCCACAAACUGAUAGAAAACAGCCAGCCUCACUGGAAGCCAUAUGAGGAAAAUGGGUUAGCAGGACACAUUUUUUGUCUGCCAUUCAGCAAAGAGGAACAGAAAGUUGUGACUGACUGACUGUCUUCCUAUCAUAUCUACCCUUAAAGCCUUUCCAGAGAGAAACUGGAAGGGACUGCAGCCUGUGGAAGACCCACAAAGGAUCAGCUGAUUUGCCCAUAACAGUAAUCUAAAUCCCAAGAAGAUAGAUAAGAGUGAGUGAAGAAAAAUUAAUUGUCAAAGAAACGUCCCAAUCUACAGCCCAUUUCUGCAGGCCAUUUGGGUUAGAAUUAAUUGCUGAAAACAGUCUGAGAUUCAUAAGAAAAAAGACCAUAAUCUUAUUUCCCAAACUGCUUUUCACAUCUAUGAAACUUCCUUGAAAUAUUUUCCUACAGCAAUACAAGAAGAGCGGAAGAUGUUCAGAUGUGCUCAUACCUUUAAAACACAAAACAGUUAAGAGAAGUAAAAAGACUUCUUAAGGCAUGUUUUAUCCAGCAUUUUGAUAAGCACCAAAAAAGUUCAAGUACUUUUGUGUCAGAGGAAUGUACUGGUUUCUGAAGACGUGCCAUUUAUUCACGAGUUGCAUUCUGAUGUCUUGAGUUUAACAGUCAAGAGACAGAAAUAAAUAAACAGGAACUUUACUGAAGCUGGCUGCAGAACCAUGGAACUCUACAGAUCAUAAGGCAAUUUCUUAAUAAAAUGUAUACAGACCUUUGGCACAGACAUUCCUAGGAAAAGGUCUAAUAAGAAAGAACUAAACUUGUCCAAAUUAUAACUGCUGGAACACCUGCUAGCUUGCAUUAUUUAUCAAACAAAAAUAGUAACAAUUUCGUCAAUCUCCUAACAACGUCAAUAAUAUUGUCGGAUUUUAUCCAAACCUCACAGACACACUGGGAAAGAAGACAGAACAUUAUUCCUUGCAAGAACAUGCACUUCUCCCAAGUGUUCUCCUCCCAAAACUUUUCCCUCCAGUCGAGUGUGAGAUAGGAGAUUCUACUGUAGAAAAGUAGUGUUGAAUUACAAAGAAUUUUUACACACAAUUAUCUAAACUGUGCCAUAACACUAGCAUUCAAAUAACCUCAAGCAUACUGUGUUUUUCUCUUGCCCACUGAAAUCAUUUUGAGAAUGCUGCUGGUAUAAAUAUUUAUUGUCAAAUAAAGAUGAAUGAUCAGACAAAAUAUGUGCAUUCCUCUACCUCAAACAUACUGUUACAUAGAAAGAAACAAACAAACAAAAGUAACGGCGCAUAGCUAGAGAAGAAUUCAUCUGUCUUCCCAGGGUUUGAGUGAAUUCCAAACAAAACGAAUAGUAAGUUUUCCAUUGACUUAAAUGGGGUAUGGGCUUUGCACUGGUAAUGGCAAUGACAUUACACCUACGUUGAACAAAAUAAGGAAAGUAAUUGAAUCCUGAAAUCUCAAUAAGGUGAGAAGAGUUGUGGAUUAAAUUCAAUUUAAGGUUAAUAAACUGGCUUUACUUUUGUACUAUGUCUUGGUACCCUAAAAAAAAAAAAAAAAAAAAGUAUUUGCUUCAAAGAAGCUGUAACAGAGACCUGACUCCACAGAUGAGGUGGAUUCAAUUGAACUAUGUCCUUAUAAUAAACCCUCCAAAGAAGACCAAAAAUGUAUCUGGACUAUCACAGUGGGAAAGCAAGUGCUGCCAUCGGAGGCAGAUGCCUGCAAUAUAUCAUCAUAACUUCUAGCAUUAAAAUGUUCUGUUUUGUUUCAGGUCUUCCUCUUGGUCACAGUGAGAGAGGACAUGCAAAAUCUCUUAUGUUUUACUGCUUACAUGAAUAUGUGUGCAAAGCCAAAAUCAUGUUCAUAGUUAGUCCCGAGUACCCCAACUAUUAUCAACAAUAAAUGCUACAUAUCCC
ensembl:lncRNA